GACGAACGCUGGCGGCGUGCUUAACACAUGCAAGUCGAACGGAAAGGCCCUGCUUGCAGGGUACUCGAGUGGCGAACGGGUGAGUAACACGUGGGUGAUCUGCCCUGCACUUCGGGAUAAGCCUGGGCAACUGGGUCUAAUACCGGAUAGGAGCCAUUUUUAGUGUGAUGGUUGGAAAGUUUUUUCGGUGUAGGAUGAGCUCGCGGCCUAUCAGCUUGUUGGUGGGGUAAUGGCCUACCAAGGCGGCGACGGGUAGCCGGCCUGAGAGGGUGGACGGCCACAUUGGGACUGAGAUACGGCCCAGACGCCUACGGGAGGCAGCAGUGGGGAAUAUUGCACAAUGGGCGCAAGCCGGAUGCAGCGACGCCGCGUGGGGGAUGACGGCCUUCGGGUUGUAAACUCCUUUCGCUAGGGACGAAGCUUUUUGUGACGGUACCUAGAGAAGAAGCACCGGCUAACUACGUG
rnacentral:rRNA from 1 species